UACGUAGGGUGCAAGCGUUUGUCCGGAAUUAUUGGGCGUAAAGAGCUCGUAGGCGGUCUGUUGCGUCGACUGUGAAAACCCGGGGCUCAACCCCGGGCCUGCAGCCGAUACGGGCAGACUAGAGUUCGGCAGGGGAGACUGGAAUUCCUGGUGUAGCGGUGAAAUGCGCAGAUAUCAGGAGGAACACCGGUGGCGAAGGCAGGUCUCUGGGCAUUAACUGACGCUGAGGAGCGAAAGUCUGGGGAGCGAACAGG
rnacentral:rRNA from 1 species